GAUGAACGCUGGCGGCGUGCCUAAUACAUGCAAGUCGAGCGAACGGACGAGAAGCUUGCUCUCUGAUGUUAGCGGCGGACGGGUGAGUAACACGUGGAUAACCUACCUAUAAGACUGGGAUAACUUCGGGAAACCGGAGCUAAUACCGGAUAAUAUUUUGAACCGCAUGGUUCAAAAGUGAAAGACGGUCUUGCUGUCACUUAUAGAUGGAUCCGCGCUGCAUUAGCUAGUUGGUAAGGUAACGGCUUACCAAGGCAACGAUGCAUAGCCGACCUGAGAGGGUGAUCGGCCACACUGGAACUGAGACACGGUCCAGACUCCUACGGGAGGCAGCAGUAGGGAAUCUUCCGCAAUGGGCGAAAGCCUGACGGAUCAACGCCGCGUGAGUGAUGAAGGUCUUCGGAUCGUAAAACUCUGUUAUUAGGGAAGAACAUAUGUGUAAGUAACUGUGCACAUCUUGACGGUACCUAAUCAGAAAGCCACGGCUAACUACGUG
rnacentral:rRNA from 1 species